GACGAACGCUGGCGGCGUGCUUAACACAUGCAAGUCGAGCGGAAAGGCCUGCUUUCCCUUGUGGAUUGCGGGUGCUCGAGUGGCGAACGGGUGAGUAACACGUGAGUGAUCUGCCCCCAACUUGGGUAUAAGCCUGGGAAACUGGGUCUAAUUCCCGAUAGGACUGCAGGGUGGUGCCUGUGGUGGAAAACGAUUUUCUAGUGGUUGGGGAUGAGCUCGCGGCCUAUCAGCUUGUUGGUGGGGUAAUGGCCUACCAAGGCGGCGACGGGUAGCCGGCCUGAGAGGGUGGACGGCCACAUUGGGACUGAGAUACGGCCCAGACUCCUACGGGAGGCAGCAGUGGGGAAUAUUGCACAAUGGGCGGAAGCCUGAUGCAGCGACGCCGCGUGGGGGAUGACGGCCUUCGGGUUGUAAACUCCUUUCGACCGCGAGGAAGCCACCUGGCUGGAAGGGUGGUGACGGUAGUGGUAGAAGAAGCACCGGCUAACUACGUG
rnacentral:rRNA from 1 species